UACGGGGGGUGCGAGCGUUGUCCGGAAUCACUGGGCGUCAAGGGCGCGUAGGUGGUCUUGUAAGUUUGCGGUGCAAGCCCGGGGCUCAACCCCGGGUCUGCCGCGAAUACUGCGAGACUUGAGUACUGUAGAGGCUGGUAGAAUGCCGGGUGUAGCGGUGGAAUGCGUAGAGAUCCGGCAGAAGACCGGUGGCGAAGGCGGCCAGCUGGGCAGUGACUGACACUGAGGCGCGACAGCGUGGGGAGCAAACAGG
rnacentral:rRNA from 1 species